rnacentral:lncRNA from 1 species
AGCAAGAUGGACAGGAAAGAGUUUGCUUGGCUUACAGGUCCACAUGUAGUCCAUCACUGACGGAACUCAGACAGGUCAGGAACCUGGACGCAGGAGCUGAUGGAGAGGCCAUGGCGGAUGCUGGUCACUGGCUUGCUCCUCAUACCUUGCUCUGGCAGAUUCCUUACAGAACCCAGGCUCACCAGCCAAGGGGUAGCCCCACCCACCAACAGUCACUAAUUAAGAAAAGAGCCUUCAGGAGGCAUUUCCUUGAGUCAAGUCUAGGCCUGAGGAGCGCUGGCCCUACUGCACAGGUGUGGUGCCCUGCCCAGAUCUGAGAACUGACACGGUUGUUCCUGCCCACCACACCCCCAGCAUCUAAGAGCAACUGAGGGAAGAAAGGGAACAUUGAAGCAGCUCCGACCUACACCAGCCCUAGCCCUUUUUGCCGUUUCCUUCUGAGGAUUCAAAGCCUGGAGCUGUUCUUACCCACUGCUGCUUGGUCCUGUGCUCAGAGUAACCUGCCAUUUCUGUGAAAGGCAGCCUGAGUGUUCAGUGCAACUUAAAUUACAGUGCUUAUUAUCAUUCCUGCUUUUAUUUUGUGUUACCUCUGAGCUUUUCAGUCCCACCUGGAAAUACUUCUGACAAUAAAAUUUUAAGAUCUUU